ensembl:snRNA Gm22044 predicted gene, 22044
GUGCUCGCUUCAGCAGCACAUAUACUAAAACUGGAACGAUACAGAGAAGAUUAGCAUGGCCCCUGCGCAAGGAUGACACGCAAAUUUGUGAAGUGUUCCAUAUUUUU